rnacentral:rRNA from 1 species
UCAAGAAACUUCCACAAUGGGCGAAAGCCUGAUGGAGCGACGUCGCGUGAUGGACGAAGUGCUUCGGCACGUAAACAUCUUUUUAUGUGGGAUGAAAUUAUUGACAGUACCACAUGAAUAAGGGGCUCCUAACUCUGUGCCAGCAGGAGCGGUAAUACAGAGGCCCCAAGCGUUAUCCGGAAUCACUGGGCGUAAAGGGUGUCGAGGCGGUUGUAUUAGUCGUUCGUAAAAUCUACGAGCUUAACUUGUAGGCGGCGAACGAAACGGGACGACUUGAGGUUUGGAGAGGUGCGUGGAACUCACGGUGUAGGGGUGAAAUCCGUUGAUAUCGUGGGGAACACCAAAGGCGAAGGCAGCGCACUGGCCAAAAUCUGACGCUCACACACGAAAGCUAGGGUAGCGAAGAGGAUUAGAUACCCUGGUAGUCCCUGAGCGGGCUGGCAAGGCGCAU